UACAGAGGGGGCAAGCGUUGUUCGGAAUUACUGGGCGUAAAGGGCGCGUAGGCGGCCUGUUAAGUCGAACGUGAAAUCCCCGGGCUCAACCCGGGAACUGCGUCCGAUACUGGCAGGCUUGAAUUCGGGAGAGGGAUGUGGAAUUCCAGGUGUAGCGGUGAAAUGCGUAGAUAUCUGGAGGAACACCGGUGGCGAAGGCGGCAUCCUGGACCGACACUGACGCUCAGACACGACAGCAUGGGGAGCGAACGGGAUUAGAUACC
rnacentral:rRNA from 1 species